UUAGAGUUUGAUCCUGGCUCAGGAUGAACGCUAGCUACAGGCUUAACACAUGCAAGUCGAGGGGCAGCAUGGUCUUAGCUUGCUAAGGCUGAUGGCGACCGGCGCACGGGUGAGUAACACGUAUCCAACCUGCCGUCUACUCUUGGCCAGCCUUCUGAAAGGAAGAUUAAUCCAGGAUGGGAUCAUGAGUUCACAUGUCCGCAUGAUUAAAGGUAUUUUCCGGUAGACGAUGGGGAUGCGUUCCAUUAGAUAGUAGGCGGGGUAACGGCCCACCUAGUCAACGAUGGAUAGGGGUUCUGAGAGGAAGGUCCCCCACAUUGGAACUGAGACACGGUCCAAACUCCUACGGGAGGCAGCAGUGAGGAAUAUUGGUCAAUGGGCGCAGGCCUGAACCAGCCAAGUAGCGUGAAGGAUGACUGCCCUAUGGGUUGUAAACUUCUUUUAUAUGGGAAUAAAGUUUUCCACGUGUGGAAUUUUGUAUGUACCAUAUGAAUAAGGAUCGGCUAACUCCGUGCCAGCAGCCGCGGUAAUACGGAGGAUCCGAGCGUUAUCCGGAUUUAUUGGGUUUAAAGGGAGCGUAGGUGGACAGUUAAGUCAGUUGUGAAAGUUUGCGGCUCAACCGUAAAAUUGCAGUUGAUACUGGCUGUCUUGAGUACAGUAGAGGUGGGCGGAAUUCGUGGUGUAGCGGUGAAAUGCUUAG
rnacentral:rRNA from 1 species